rnacentral:rRNA from 1 species
UCCGUAGGGUGCAAGCGUUAUCCGGAAUUAUUGGGCGUAAAGAGCUCGUAGGCGGUUUGUCACGUCUGCUGUGAAAACUGGAGGCUCAACCUCCAGCCUGCAGUGGGUACGGGCAGACUAGAGUGCGGUAGGGGAGAUUGGAAUUCCUGGUGUAGCGGUGGAAUGCGCAGAUAUCAGGAGGAACACCGAUGGCGAAGGCAGAUCUCUGGGCCGUAACUGACGCUGAGGAGCGAAAGCAUGGGGAGCGAACAGG